CGUUUUCUUCUACCAUCUGCUUUGGCUACAUUCGGAAGAUGCGCAAUAGGCUGCGCAUACACCAUAAUCUAUUUUUAUACUUCUGAAAACUUUCCAACAGUUCUAAGAAAUAUUAGUAUUGGAGCCUGCAGUUUUUGGGCACAGUUUGGUAAUUUUUUGGCACCACAGCUGAACUAUUGGAUGCUGGCACUCUGGGACAUCGAUGCCGUGCUUGUCUUCGGUCUGCUGUCAAUUCUGGCCGUUCUAGUGCUACUUCCGCUUCCAGAGACCCACAACAAAGUGUUGCCGGACCUGGUCCAGGAGCUGGUCAUCAUUAAAGAGGGGGGCGUGGCCAAUGGGGGAGCACCAGGGGAGAAUAUGAAUGGGAGGAAUUCAAGGGAGAUAACCCAGGGGGUUAAUUUAGGGAAGGUAACCGAUGGGGAAAAUUCAAAAACUAUGGAAGAAAUUAACAAUCACUGAAUUCAUAGAAGCUUUUGAUCCAGCAUUAGGAUAUUUUUUAUUUUUUUUUCUUAUCAAUUAUUGUUUGUACACAUUAUUUAAUUUAUUUGUAACUGUAUACAAUACAAAAUAAUUUUUAAACGUUAAAUAAA